ACCCAACACAAAUAUGAUUCCGUUUCGAGACUCCAAUGCGUAGUCACCGCUGCAGGACAGGACUAUAUAAGGAGCGAUUUAGGAUCGCAUCAUCGCCCUUAGGUCGCAUUUCCUGCGUAGUUUGGAUUGGGGAGUCGGUUGCCGAUGCACCAAUUGAAGCGGCUCCUAGCGGCCGGAGGCGGCGGCAGAAGGAGCAGCGACGGCGGAUUCCGUUCUCCCGUCCUGCUGCUUCUCUUCCUCUUUGUUCUCGCUCCUUCGCUCUUCUUUGCGGCACGUGGCAGCAUCCGCGCCGCCCCCAUCUCUCCCGAUGAUACAAGCAGUCCAAACUUUUCAAGCCAUAGGAUAAUUUCACUAACAUAUUUGCUACAUUUCUUAUCAAGAAAUGCAACUCUAUUUUGCCUUGUAUCUCACCUUCAAACUCUUCUACCGAGUUCAUAUUGGAGAGAACAGUACCUGUUGACUGCCUUUGGAAUAUGUGCUCACUGAUUGCUGGUUUUACUUCAUUUGCUUUUUCUUAGUCUGAGACAAGCCGUGGAUUCGACCAAGCAGUGGCUGGGCAUAUGGGAUGAAUACUUUUUACCUUAAGGAGUGGAAGAAGAAAGAUAUAACUCGUAUUUAUCACAAGUGGCAGAAAAUGAAUGAAGAGAGUGCUGUGGAAACUGGGGACACUUCCUCCAGGACUACUCGCGUUUUAUAAACUGACACACACGCUGGACAAAUCAUGGCAUGUUCUUGGCUUGGGUUAUAACCCUAGCAUUGAUCACUCAGAUACAAAAUGCUGCUGUAGUCCAUUAUAAUGGGAACAUGAAACCAUGGUUGGAGAUGGCAAUCACCAAGUACAGAACAUAUUGGACCAAGUACAUCAUGUAUGAUCACCCUUAUAUUACGGGAUGCAAGCUAAGCGAAUAGGAAGAAUUAGAAAGUGUAGUCAGAAAACAGCUGCAGCUCUUUUGCUCGAGAAGUUAAUCUGGAGUAAGCUGGAGAUUGUGAAGGGUUCUACGACCUCAUAUUGCGUUAUCUUAUGAAUUAUCUUUGAUCCAUGAUGUCAUUCUCACCUGUCUUGUAAAUUUUCCCUUAUUGUUUGUGCCUCUGACGGAGGGAGAUUCUUCAUCUGUUCAAUUUAUCAGAAUAUGUAGCUGCAUUCUGAAUCUGAUGGAGAGAGCUUCCGAACGGUUCAAAUUCAUCAGAAUAUGUAGCUGCAUUCUGCUAGUAAGUAAAAAAAAAACUUCUUUUAAUUUUCUAUC